GACGAACGCUGGCGGCGUGCCUAAUACAUGCAAGUCGAGCGGAACCUUUGGAGCUUGCUCCAUUGGUUUAGCGGCGGACGGGUGAGUAACACGUGGGCAACCUGCCCUGCAGAUCGGGAUAACUCCGGGAAACCGGUGCUAAUACCGAAUAGUUUGCGGCCUCUCCUGAGGCUGCGCGGAAAGACGGUUUCGGCUGUCACUGCAGGAUGGGCCCGCGGCGCAUUAGCUAGUUGGUGGGGUAAUGGCCCACCAAGGCGACGAUGCGUAGCCGACCUGAGAGGGUGAUCGGCCACACUGGGACUGAGACACGGCCCAG
rnacentral:rRNA from 1 species